CUCGUAGGCGGUCUGUCACGUCGGCUGUGAAAACCCGAGGCUCAACCUCGGGCCUGCAGUCGAUACGGGCAAACUAGAGUACUGCAGGGGAGACUGGAAUUCCUGGUGUAGCGGUGAAAUGCGCAGAUAUCAGGAGGAACACCGGUGGCGAAGGCGGGUCUCUGGGCAGUAACUGACGCUGAGGAGCGAAAGCGUGGGGAGCGAACA
rnacentral:rRNA from 1 species